GACGAACGCUGGCGGCGUGCCUAACACAUGCAAGUGGAGCGACGAACCAGGGCUUGCCCUGGGGCCAAGCCGCGAACGGGUGAGUAGCACGUGGGUAACCUGCCCCGAUGACCGGGACAACCCGAGGAAACUCGGGCUAAUACCGGAUGUGGUGGACACACUUAAGUGUGUCCACUAAAGGAAGCUUCGGCCUCCGCAUUGGGAUGGGCCCGCGGCCCAUUAGCUAGUUGGUGGGGUAAAGGCCACCAAGGCAACGAUGGGUAGCUGGUCUGAGAGGACGAUCAGCCACACUGGGACUGAGACACGGCCCAGACUCCUACGGGAGGCAGCAGUGGGGAAUCUUGCGCAAUGCGCGAAAGCGUGACGCAGCAACGCCGCGUGAGGGAAGACGGCCUGGU
rnacentral:rRNA from 1 species